UGCCCCGUGGCUGAGUUGGUUACAGCGUCCGACUGUUACUGCAAUCGGAAGGUCGUGAGUUCGAGCCUCACCGGGGCAG
rnacentral:tRNA from 2 species